rnacentral:rRNA from 1 species
CCUACGGGUGGCAGCAGUGGGGAAUAUUGCACAAUGGGGGGAACCCUGAUGCAGCGACGCCGCGUGAGCGAGGAAGUAUUUCGGUAUGUAAAGCUCUAUCAGCAGGGACGAAAAAAGACGGUACCUGACUAAGAAGCCCCGGCUAACUACGCGCCAGCAGCCGCGGUAAGACGUAGGGGGCAAGCGUUAUCCGGAUUUACUGGGUGUAAAGGGAGCGUAGACGGCAAGGCAAGCCAGAAGUGAAAGGCCAGGGCUCAACCCUGUACAUGCUUUUGGAACUGUGGUGCUAGAGUGCAGGAGAGGUAAGUGGAAUUCCUAGUGUAGCGGUGAAAUGCGUAGAUAUUAGGAGGAACACCAGUGGCGAAGGCGGCUUACUGGACUGUAACUGACGUUGAGGCUCGAAAGCGUGGGGAGCAAACAGGAUUAGAUACCCGAGUAGUC